GACGAACGCUGGCGGCGUGCCUAAUACAUGCAAGUCGAGCGGAUCUUCAUUAGCUUGCUUUUGAAGAUCAGCGGCGGACGGGUGAGUAACACGUGGGCAACCUGCCUGUAAGACUGGGAUAACUUCGGGAAACCGGAGCUAAUACCGGAUAAUCCUUUCCCUCACAUGAGGGAAAGCUGAAAGACGGUUUCGGCGGUAACUUCCAGAGGGGCCCGCGGCGCAUUAGCUAGUUGGUGAGGUAAUGGCUCACCAAGGCGACGAUGCGUAGCCGACCUGAGAGGGUGAUCGGCCACACUGGGACUGAGACACGGCCCAGACUCCUACGGGAGGCAGCAGUAGGGAAUCUUCCGCAAUGGACGAAAGUCUGACGGAGCAACGCCGCGUGAACGAUGAAGGCCUUCGGGUCGUAAAGUUCUGUUGUCAGGGAAGAACAAGUACCGGAGUAACUGCCGGUACCUUGACGGUACCUGACCAGAAAGCCACGGCUAACUACGUGCCAGCCGCCGCCGUAAUAC
rnacentral:rRNA from 1 species